GACGUAGGGGGCAAGCGUUGUUCGGAAUUAUUGGGCGUAAAGCGCUCGUAGGCGGGACUGUAAGUCCGUGUUGAAAGACCUCGGCUCAACUGAGGGACCGGCGCGGAUACUAUAGUUCUUGAGGCAAUCAGAGGGUGAUGGAAUUCCCGGUGUAGCGGUGAAAUGCGUAGAUAUCAUUUGGAACGCCAAUGGUGAAAACAGGUAGCUGGGGAUGUGCUGACGCUGAGACACGAAAGCCAGGGAGCGAACGGG
rnacentral:rRNA from 1 species